CGCUGCUGCUCAGCUUCUGCAGUCUGCUGCAGUCGCUACUCUAGUAAUGGCUUUUAUAUGUAUUAUCUGAGUGUUAAAUUCAUAUUUUGAGUGAGUUUGUGUUGUGGGAUGACGAUUGAGAACGAAUAAACGUGAAUAUGGACACUUCUACCAGCAGCUAACAGACAAGCAAACUGCAAAAGAGAGGACCUGAAAGCAUGAUCCUUGGACAUUUGGAGAAGAACACUGUAUGCAAAACAGGAUUUUGGAUCAGCUGUGAAGAUUUUGUAUGGAGCUGAAGUUUUGGAAAUGAAAAUCUUCUACCAUAUGAUCUUCAGAGGAACUAAUCCAGCUGAUUACUGGCAAUUUGGAGGAGGACUGCUCUUUAUCUGCUGUGUCUGUCACUUCUGGCCAUGGACAUUUUCUUGUAUGUUUUGGUUUUACUUAUUACACUAAUAUAGCUAUUAGUUUUUAACUAUAUGUAGAAUUAAAAUACAUAUGUUUUUCUACAUAUAUUACCAGAGCUACUGUGGUCCCCAAAAUUAUUAGAACACUAUUUAUUUUAUACCAGUUAAAAAAUGGUUUUAAGUCAGUUAUUUCUAUCUUUUGCUGUAGUGUGUCAGUAGGAAAUAUCAGUUUACAUUUCCAAGCAUUCAUUUUGCCCUUAAUUGUAAUUUUUUGAGAUUUUUGUUUGCACAAGGAGUCUGACAACAGCCAGUGCUCCACACAGAGAUCUGAUCUCAUCGUCUAAAUCCAGAAGAACUGUGGCAGCGUCUCCAAGAUGCUUCAAGAAACCUACCUGCAAAGCUAAAAGUUUUAGGCACUUGUGUAAAAAUUCUGUUAAAUGAGGAUGUUGUCAAAAAUAAUGCCAUAAAUAAAUUUUCUUUAUCAAUUAACUUUUAUAACUAAAUUAAAUCAACAUUUAGUGUGACCAUCCUUUGCGUUUAAAGCAGCUUUUGCUCUAGGUGCACGUGUGGUUAGUUUUUCAGGUAACUUUUCAGGUAGGUUUCUUGAAGCGUCUUGGAGACGUUGCCACAGUUCUUCUGGAUUUAGUCUGUCUCAGUUUGUUCGGUUUCUUCAUGCCAUUCCAGACAGACUGAUGAUGAUCAGAUCAGAUCUCUGUGUGAAGCACUUGUUGUCGUCAG